ensembl:ncRNA F31E9.11 ncRNA
UUUCCGGGCGACUGUUGUGUGUUGCCCUUCUCUUCUCUAGUUUUUUAUUGAUUUUUAUCUACUUUUUGCUUGAUUUAUUCACUUUUAAAGUUGAAAACUGUGCUCUGGAAAAGAAAAAAAAACGACUGCAGACGCACUGUCAAGGAACCAUCCAAUAAAGUGGACUCAAUUUCCUUGUAAAGGCUCAAUCUUCUGUUUUUUCAACCAUCGGAAAAUAAACUUAGAAACAGUUCCAGAUUUGCGUUCCAGGACUUUUUGAAGGAAACAAUUUGAUAAAUAACCAUGAAUAAAUUUUUUUUAAAUAUUUUAAUUUUG